rnacentral:rRNA from 1 species
GAUGAGCCAGAAUUGGUACCUUGUCUUUAAAUAAGGUGCAAAAUGAUUUUAACUGAAGAGUUUGAUCAUGGCUCAGAUUGAACGCUGGCGGCAGGCUUAACACAUGCAAGUCGAGCGGAGAGAGGUAGCUUGCUACUGAUCUUAGCGGCGGACGGGUGAGUAAUGCUUAGGAAUCUGCCUAUUAGUGGGGGGACAACAUCUCGAAAGGGAUGCUAAUACCGCAUACGUCCUACGGGAGAAAGCAGGGGAUCUUCGGACCUUGCGCUAAUAGAUGAGCCUAAGUCGGAUUAGCUAGUUGGUGGGGUAAAGGCCUACCAAGGCGACGAUCUGUAGCGGGUCUGAGAGGAUGAUCCGCCACACUGGGACUGAGACACGGCCCAGACUCCUACGGGAGGCAGCAGUGGGGAAUAUUGGACAAUGGGGGGAACCCUGAUCCAGCCAUGCCGCGUGUGUGAAGAAGGCCUUAUGGUUGUAAAGCACUUUAAGCGAGGAGGAGGCUACUUUAGUUAAUACCUAGAGAUAGUGGACGUUACUCGCAGAAUAAGCACCGGCUAACUCUGUGCCAGCAGCCGCGGUAAUACAGAGGGUGCAAGCGUUAAUCGGAUUUACUGGGCGUAAAGCGCGCGUAGGCGGCUAAUUAAGUCAAAUGUGAAAUCCCCGAGCUUAACUUGGGAAUUGCAUUCGAUACUGGUUAGCUAGAGUGUGGGAGAGGAUGGUAGAAUUCCAGGUGUAGCGGUGAAAUGCGUAGAGAUCUGGAGGAAUACCGAUGGCGAAGGCAGCCAUCUGGCCUAACACUGACGCUGAGGUGCGAAAGCAUGGGGAGCAAACAGGAUUAGAUACCCUGGUAGUCCAUGCCGUAAACGAUGUCUACUAGCCGUUGGGGCCUUUGAGGCUUUAGUGGCGCAGCUAACGCGAUAAGUAGACCGCCUGGGGAGUACGGUCGCAAGACUAAAACUCAAAUGAAUUGACGGGGGCCCGCACAAGCGGUGGAGCAUGUGGUUUAAUUCGAUGCAACGCGAAGAACCUUACCUGGCCUUGACAUAGUAAGAACUUUCCAGAGAUGGAUUGGUGCCUUCGGGAACUUACAUACAGGUGCUGCAUGGCUGUCGUCAGCUCGUGUCGUGAGAUGUUGGGUUAAGUCCCGCAACGAGCGCAACCCUUUUCCUUAUUUGCCAGCGAGUAAUGUCGGGAACUUUAAGGAUACUGCCAGUGACAAACUGGAGGAAGGCGGGGACGACGUCAAGUCAUCAUGGCCCUUACGGCCAGGGCUACACACGUGCUACAAUGGUCGGUACAAAGGGUUGCUACACAGCGAUGUGAUGCUAAUCUCAAAAAGCCGAUCGUAGUCCGGAUUGGAGUCUGCAACUCGACUCCAUGAAGUCGGAAUCGCUAGUAAUCGCGGAUCAGAAUGCCGCGGUGAAUACGUUCCCGGGCCUUGUACACACCGCCCGUCACACCAUGGGAGUUUGUUGCACCAGAAGUAGCUAGCCUAACUGCAAAGAGGGCGGUUACCACGGUGUGGCCGAUGACUGGGGUGAAGUCGUAACAAGGUAGCCGUAGGGGAACCUGCGGCUGGAUCACCUCCUUAA